GGAAUUUUGGACAAUGGGCGCAAGCCUGAUCCAGCCAUGCCGCGUGUGUGAAGAAGGCCUUCGGGUUGUAAAGCACUUUCGGACGGAACGAAAUCGCGCGCAUGAAUAAUGCGCGUGGAUGACGGUACCGUAAGAAGAAGCACCGGCUAACUACGUGCCCGCAGCCGCGGUAAUACGGAGGGUGCAAGCGUUAAUCGGAAUUACUGGGCGUAAAGGGUGCGCAGGCGGCCCCGCAUGUCAGGCGUGAAAUCCCCGAGCUCAACUUGGGAAUGGCGUCUGAAACUACGGGGCUGGAGUGUGGCAGAGGGAGGUGGAAUUCCAGGUGUAGCGGUGAAAUGCGUAGAGAUCUGGAGGAACACCGAUGGCGAAGGCAGCCCCCUGGGCUAACACUGACGCUCAUGCACGAAAGCGUGGGGAGCA
rnacentral:rRNA from 1 species